rnacentral:tRNA from 1 species
UGGGGUGAUAGCUCAGUUGGUACAGUGCUUGCCUUGCAUGCACAAGGCCUUGGGUUCAAUCCCCAGCACCUAAA